rnacentral:rRNA from 1 species
UACGAAGGGUCCAAGCGUUAUCCGGAUUUAUUGGGUUUAAAGGGUGCGUAGGCGGCUUAUUAAGUCAGUGGUGAAAGCCUUCAGCUUAACUGAAGAACUGCCACUGAUACUGAUGAGCUUGAAUAUACUUGAGGCUGGCGGAAUGUGUCAUGUAGCGGUGAAAUGCUUAGAUAUGACACAGAACACCGAUUGCGAAGGCAGCUAGCUAAGGUAUGAUUGACGCUGAGGCACGAAAGCGUGGGGAGCAAACAGG